CCUACGGGAGGCAGCAGUUGGGAAUCUUGGACAAUGGGGGGAAACCCUGAUCCAGCCAUGCCGCGUGAGUGAUGAAGGCCUUCGGGUUGUAAAACUCUUUCGACGGGGACGAUAAUGACGGUACCCGUAGAAGAAGCUCCGGCUAACUUCGUGCCAGCAGCCGCGGUAAUACGAAGGGGGCUAGCGUUGUUCGGAAUUACUGGGCGUAAAGCGCGCGCAGGCGGUCUUCCAAGUCAGUGGUGAAAGCCCGGAGCUCAACUCCGGAACUGCCAUUGAAACUGUAAGACUUGAGGACGAGAGAGGUGAGUGGAAUUCCCAGUGUAGAGGUGAAAUUCGUAGAUAUUGGGAAGAACACCGGUGGCGAAGGCGGCUCACUGGCUCGUAUCUGACGCUCAGGCGCGACAGCGUGGGGAUCAAACAGGAUUAGAUACCCUGGUAGUCCACGCCGUAAACGAUGAAUGCUAGCCGUUGGGUAGCUUGCUAUUCAGUGGCGCAGCUAGCGCAUUAAGCGUUCCGCCUGGGGAGUACGGCCGCAAGGUUGAAACUCAAAGAUAGUGCGNGNGAGNGCGACGACGACGACGACGGAGGAGG
rnacentral:rRNA from 1 species